rnacentral:rRNA from 1 species
CAGCCGCCGCGGUAAUACGUAGGUGGCAAGCGUUGUCCGGAACUAUUGGGCGUAAAGGGCUCGCAGGCGGUUUCUUAAGUCUGAUGUGAAAGCCCCCGGCUCAACCGGGGAGGGUCAUUGGAAACUGGGAAACUUGAGUGCAGAAGAGGAGAGUGGAAUUCCACGUGUAGCGGUGAAAUGCGUAGAGAUGUGGAGGAACACCAGUGGCGAAGGUGACUCUCUGGUCUGUAACUGACGCUGAGGAGCGAAAGCGUGGGGAGCGAACAGGAUUAGAUACCCGCGUAGUCCCUGUCUCUUAUAC